rnacentral:lncRNA from 1 species
GCCGCAUUUUUGCGCCUGUCUCUAGUCAGGAGCCUCUGGCUUUUGUUAGUCUUGUAUUAUUUUUAAUUUUAGUUUCUUGUGUACAAUUUGGAGUUUAGUAUGGCGUUCAUUAUCACUGAAUUAGUAUAUAUUUGUUUAGGGGCCAGCUGAAGGACGCCUCCGGGUGCGGGAAUUUCUCGCUACAUUGAAGACCUGUUGGUGACCUUCUGCUGUUUUUUUUCUAUGGU